rnacentral:rRNA from 1 species
UACGAAGGGUGCAAGCGUUGCUCGGAUUCAUUGGGCGUAAAGGGUAGGUAGGUGGUCUUAUUUGUCUGGGGUGAAAUCCCUGUGCUUAACUCAGGAAGGGCCUCGGAAACGGGAAGACUAGAGUACUGGAGAGGGUCGUGGAAUUCCCGGUGUAGCGGUGAAAUGCGUAGAGAUCGGGAGGAACACCAGAAGCGAAAGCGGCGACAUGGACAGUUACUGACACUCAACUACGAAAGCGUGGGGAGCAAACAGG